AUUUUACCCCAAACAAGCCAUCCACUCAAUCCUUAAUUUGCAAAAAAAAAUACUAGAAUUCCUUAUAUUUGGGGAUGGAGUGAGUGAAUGAAAAUGUCAGUCUGGAAGAGCAUAUCUUUCAUUUUUCUUUAAACAAUAGCUGAUAGAGGAAAUAAAAUAUUGUGUUUCUUACACAUUACAUAUAGAAUUAAGCACCUUUUUUUUCUUAUCAGUGUCAUGAAUU
rnacentral:lncRNA from 1 species